rnacentral:rRNA from 1 species
AGUGAACGCUGGCGGUAGGCCUAACGCAUGCAAGUCGAACGGCAGCACAGUAAGAGCUUGCUCUUACGGGUGGCGAGUGGCGGACGGGUGAGGAAUACAUCGGAAUCUACUUUUUCGUGGGGGAUAACGUAGGGAAACUUACGCUAAUACCGCAUACGACCUACGGUUUAAAUCAGGGGAUCUUCGGACCUUUCGCGCUUUAAUUAGCCGAUGUCGGAUUAGCUAGUUGGCGGGGUAAAGGCCCACCAAGGCGACGAUCCGUAGCUGGUCUGAGAGGAUGAUCAGCCACACUGGAAGUGAGGCACGGUCCAGACUCCUACGGGAGGCAGCAGUGGGGAAUAUUGGACAAUGGGCGCAAGCAUGAUCCAGCAAUACCGCGUGGGUGAAGAAGGCCUUCGGGUUGUAAAGCCCUUUUGUUGGGAAAGAAAAGAAGCAGGUUAAUACCCCGAUGUUCUGACGGUACCAAAAGAAUAAGCACCGGCUAACUUCGUG